UACGCAAUCACACGCACACACGUCUUGUUUAAGGACCACGGAGCUUCCGUCGUUUCUCGCUCCGGUCUGUCUUUCUCUCUCUUUUUCUUCUUCUUCUUCUUCUUUGUUUUAUUUUUUUUGUUAAGUCGGUCCGUGUGAAUUUCCGCUGUCGGAUCGGCUCGGAAGAAACUCCGCACUUCGAAUUUUCCUUCGUCGAUCGCACAUUACUGAUACUAACACAACCGCGACUCACAGCACACUAACCAACUACGACUACUUUUGCGAGAGACCAGGGCGUUAUGAUCUCGUCCGGGAUCUCGCGCGUCAACGCUCUAAGCAUUGAAUGAGAAAAGAUUUUAUUGUGUGUGCCUUGCGCAAUAAAGAUCCAGUUUUUGUGGGAAUGAAUAAGCCGCAUGUAUGAUUUAAUGUACAUAUUGCCGAGCUACUAAAUAAAUCGUGGGUCACCAUACUACGGUCCACGGAUAUCGUGGGUAUUGUUCUGAAUCUUUUACUUCUGAAGAGAAUAGGCGACGUGUUCACACGCGUGUCAGGAGUACUCCGAGAAAGCCUGUGGCGACUCCGAAGGCGCACACGAGCGGGGCCCUCGUCGAAAAGAAGGGGCUCCGCGGAGGAAAGGCCGCGCAAACGUAUCUCUGGGUUCGUCGUGGUGUUGUCCGCCGGGAGUGGCGGUGGCAGUGGUGACGGGGGAGGUUGCAGACGCCGUGAUUUGGAACGUCGAACUGGUGGCGGUCAGGGUGCUCCCUGCCUUGCCACCAUCAGUUCUUCUGUCGCAGGAAGCGCAGGGGGUUAUGGCCCCGUGGUGGGGCUCCCCUCCUAUAAGAAGA